rnacentral:rRNA from 1 species
GACGAACGCUGGCGGCGCGCUUAACACAUGCAAGUCGAGCGAAGCGGCGGACGGGUGAGUAACACGUGAGUAACCUGCCUUAGACAUUGGGAUAGCCUCGGGAAACCGGGAUUAAUCCCAAAUGUUCUAAGAUGGAAUAGCGUCCCAUUAGCUAGUUGGUGAGGUAACGGCCCACCAAGGCGACGAUGGGUAGCCGGCCUGAGAGGGUGACCGGCCACAUUGGAACUGAGAAACGGUCCAAACUAUACGGGAGGCAGCAGUGGGGAAUAGUGCACAAUGGAGGGAACUCUGAUGCAGCGACGCUGCGUGAACGAAGAAGGCUUUCGAGUCGUAAAGUUCUUUUAUAUGGGAAGCGGUACCAUAAGAAAAAGCCCCGGCUAACUACGUGCCAGCCGCCGCGGUAAUAC